rnacentral:rRNA from 1 species
GACCAAGGAGUCUAGCAUGUGCGCGAGUCAUUGGGACAUUGAUAAACCUAAAGGCGCAAUGAAAGUGAAGGUUCGCCUCGCGCGGACCGAGGGAGGAUGGGCCCGUCCACGGGCGGGCCCCGCACUCCCGGGGCGUCUCGUUCUCAUCGCGAGAAGAGGCGCACCCAGAGCGUACACGCUGGGACCCGAAAGAUGGUGAACUAUGCCUGGUCAGGACGAAGUCAGGGGAAACCCUGAUGGAGGUCCGUAGCGAUUCUGACGUGCAAAUCGAUCGUCGGAACUGGGUAUAGGGGCGAAAGACUAAUCGAAC